CCAGAGGCCAGAGUCUGGCAAUCUGCCCCACAGCCCCAGGCAAACCUACUGUUUCAGCAGACACUGGCUUAGAGUUAAGUGCCUGGAUCAAAACUCCCUCCUUAUUCCCAUCAUGUCGAUGGCUUACUGCUUCUCUACCACAGCAAAUCAUGAAACAACCUGAGCCUACCUACUGCAUAUGACAGGCAAGUAACAAGGCAGAACUUGAAGAAAAUGCCAUUUCUGUUCUUCCUUGCUACCUGCUGUUAGGAAGGAGCUAGCAGGUAAGCAGCUUUUAAUUUAAUUUCACUCUGAGUCAAGGUGGACUAUUCUGCAUGUAAAUGUAAUAAUGUAAGUCCUUGAUCCCUCCCUCACAGACACAGAACACAGCCUAGAAUGUGACUCUUAGUAUCCAGGGAGAAUAAAAUUACCCUGCCCAAGGCUGGAGAGAAAUAUGUGCCUAGUGAAAAGAGCAGGGUACACUGGAGCACUGCACAGCUACUGUCCCCUAAACCCAUAUCCACAUCCUUAGUAUCUGUGUGCCCAACAGUGUCACACUGUAUUUACAGGUUGCCAAUGAAAUCCAGUUUAAGGGAGGAUAAAAAUGAUUGCUCCAAGUGUUAUGACAGGAAUGGUUCCCAUGCUGUAUUAGAGGAAAACAGCUGCUGGCAUUUCCUAAACACAAAUUUCUUUGGGGAGAACAACAAAUCAUAAGCCAGAGGUUUCUGCAGGGGAUUUCUGACUGGAAAACUGUGUUUAUUAAUUAUAUGUAAAUUUCAUAAUGUUUUGAUGUCUUGAUCUAGCAAUCUGUAGAACUCACACUGAAAAAUCAAAUGUGAGAAAGGCUUAAUUUGGGAG
rnacentral:lncRNA from 1 species